AUUGAACGCUGGCGGCAUGCCUUACACAUGCAAGUCGAACGGUAACAGGUCUUCGGAUGCUGACGAGUGGCGAACGGGUGGGUAAUACAUCGGAACGUGCCUAGUAGUGGGGGAUAACUACUCGAAAGAGUGGCUAAUACCGCAUGAGAUCUACGGAUGAAAGCAGGGGAUCGCAAGACCUUGUGCUACUAGAGCGGCCGAUGGCAGAUUAGGUAGUUGGCGGGAUAAAAGCUUACCAAGCCGACGAUCUGUAGCUGGUCUGAGAGGACGAUCAGCCACACUGGGACUGAGACACGGCCCAGACUCCUACGGGAGGCAGCAGUGGGGAAUUUUGGACAAUGGGCGCAAGCCUGAUCCAGCAAUGCCGCGUGCAGGAUGAAGGCCUUCGGGUUGUAAACUGCUUUUGUACGGAACGAAAAGCCCUGGGUUAAUACCCUGGGGUCAUGACGGUACCGUAAGAAUAAGCACCGGCUAACUACGUGCCAGCCGCCGCAGUAAAAC
rnacentral:rRNA from 1 species